rnacentral:rRNA from 1 species
UGGGGAAUAUUGCACAAUGGAGGGAACUCUGAUGCAGCGACGCCGCGUGAACGAAGAAGGCUUUCGAGUCGUAAAGUUCUUUUAUAUGGGAAGAUAAUGACGGUACCAUAAGAAAAAGCCCCGGCUAACUACGUGCCAGCAGCCGCGGUAAUACGUAGGGGGCUAGCGUUUUCCGGAAUCAAUGGGCGUAAAGGGUUCGCAGGCGGAAAUGCAAGUCAGAUGUAAAAGGCAGUAGCUUAACUACUGUAAGCAUUUGAAACUGCAUAUCUUGAGAAGAGUAGAAGUAAGUGGAAUUUUUAGUGUAGAGGUGAAAUGCGGAGAUAUUAAAAAGAAUACCGGUGGCGAAGGCGACUUACUGGGAUCAUUCUGACGCUGAGGAACGAAAGCGUGGGUAGCAAACAGG